CUACGGGGGGCAGCAGUCGAGAAUCUUUGGCAAUGGGCGAAAGCCUGACCAUGCGACGCCGCGUGCGGGAUGAAGGCCUUCGGGUCGUAAACCGCUGUUACGAGGAAUGAAGGUUUCACCGGCGAACAACCGGCGGGACUUGACAGUACCUCGAGAGAAAGCCACGGCCAACUCCGUGCCAGCAGCCGCGGUAAUACGGAGGUGGCGAGCGUUGCUCGGAUUUACUGGGUGUAAAGGGCACGUAGGCGGUUCAAUAAGCCGCACCUGAAAGGCUCUGGCUUAACCAGAGUAUGUGGUGUGGGACUGCUGGACUAGAGGAUGGGAGAGGCGAGCGGAAUUCCCGGUGUAAGGGUGAAAUCUGUAGAUAUCGGGAGGAACACCAGUGGCGAAAGCGGCUCGCUGGCCUAUUUCUGACGCUGAGGUGCGAAAGCUAGGGGAGCGAACAGGAUUAGAUACCCGUGUAGUC
rnacentral:rRNA from 1 species